rnacentral:tRNA from 1 species
GGAGAGGUCGCAUAGCCUGGCUUAGUGCACCGGUCUUGAAAACCGGAGUGGGGCAACCCACCCAGGGUUCGAAUCCCUGCCUCUCCGCCA